AUUGAACGCUGGCGGAAUGCUUUACACAUGCAAGUCGAACGGCAGCACGGGUGCUUGCACCUGGUGGCGAGUGGCGAACGGGUGAGUAAUAUAUCGGAACGUAUCCAAUAAUGGGGGAUAACUAAUCGAAAGGUUGGCUAAUACCGCAUACGCCCUACGGGGGAAAGCUAGGGACCUUCGGGCCUGGCGUUAAUGGAGCGGCCGAUAUCUGAUUAGCUAGUUGGUGGGGUAAGGGCCUACCAAGGCGACGAUCAGUAGCUGGGCUGAGAGGACGACCAGCCCCACUGGAACUGAGACACGGGCCAGGCUCCUACGGGAGGCAGCAGUGGGGAAUUUUGGACAAUGGGCGCAAGCCUGGUCCAGCCAUGCCGCGUGAGUGAAGAAGGCCUUCGGGUUGUAAAGCUCUUUCGCAAGGGAAGAAAACUUAUCCUCUAACAUAGGAUGAGGUGGACGGUACCUUGAUAAGAAGCACCGGCUAACUACGUGCCAGCCGCCGCCGUAA
rnacentral:rRNA from 1 species